CAUGGGUUAUGGCGGGGUGGUGGUAGCUGAGAAUGGGAAAUCUACUACCACCACUGCUACUUACUAAUCAAUUCAUAGGAACAAACACCUUAUGACUUUGACUUGUCCAAGGACACCAAUUCAUCAAGAAUGACGAACGGCAUGGCAUGGAGUUGAGCCUGAGAGCCGAGAGUUGAAAGUUUAGAGAUGGAAAUAGAAAAAGAGAUGGAGUAGAGGAUUGAGCGGUGGAAAGAGCGGGAGGAGACCACGCCGUUGGUUUGGCUGACAGAGAUGGUGAAAUGCGUAGUCUCCAAUGGACUGGGACUGCCCAACGUUGAGUGAGGACCAGAAAAUUCAAUGGCCUCCUACAAAGGUUACACUUUCUUAAGGUAAAUAAGUCGGCAUGCCCGAGUCUAAAAUCUGCAAACCAGAUUUUGGCCUAACUAUUGGCCGACAUCAAGAGAAUUUGAAGUUUUGAGUACCAGUUAAAGAAACAUUGGCUCAUUGGAAUGUUGGUGGAUAUAGGAUCAUGCAAGCCAAUUUCUUGCUGCAAUUUUGGUUCUGGACAGUCGGCUUGUUGGGUGCCUUUUAAUAUUUAUAUGGAGAAUGCUAUGAAUGGGAAGUAACUUUCCAUCAAAUUAGCUUUUGUUAUACUCAUAGGAGUGUGAUUCCUUGGAGGGCCCUAUUCCACAUCUUGAGGCUCGUCUUUGCAUCAUUUUGUCUAUUGUGCCCUUGGCAAUUGUUAAUGUCUUUAAGGUUGAGGCCAAAUUGCAAUCUUUUUCUUCCUAAGAAUCUGGGUAUGAAGAUUGAAUGGGUGGAAAAGGCUGUGAUGCAAGAAAAUGGGGAUUGAUUUUUGCUUUCUAGCUACUUGGAAACUUUUCUGGGCUUCUAUGCCCUUUAACAUCCAUUAUAGCUGUAGUUAAUACUACUGCUGCAAAAGCUGUAAGCUUUUUUUUUUAAAGAAUCAUAGGGAUGGUUUAGAUAGCGGUAGUCCUAUUGAAACUUGCUUAAAUACAGGUAAUUUGAAUUUGUACAUGUAAUUAUACUCCCACAACUGAUUAUGACUAAGGUCAUUUGGGUUUAUUCUAUUGUCUAUUUGCUUUUAUUUCCUUGGUGCUUUCUAUACUUAUCUCUGUGCUUUAUUUUUAGGUGGCAACAUGAGGCACCUCAUUGUGGAAGCCUGCAGUGCAAGAAAUUUAAGUGACUCAUCAGCAUAUUUUUGGCUUGGUUAUGUCUCUUCUUUAAUGGCUUCAUCUGAAUUAUCACUAGUUAAGAAAUCUUCUUGGUUUAGUUUUAUGGAAAGAGCUCCACUCAAUGGUCAUCUAGUAAAUUCUUUUUUAACAACUUUUGCUUCCAAGUAUAAUGAGAAUUUUAUAGUUAGCUCCAGGUUGGAAAAUUCAUUAAUUUGAUUUUCUCCAAGGCUCUUUUGUUUAAGUUUAGCUAAGAUAGAGAAACUAUAUCACAUUGCAUUGAAUGGGUUAGUUGAGGAGAAGUUAGCAAUUGCAAAGAUUCUAUAUGGUGUGUUCCUUAGCUAUGGAUAGAAUGUUUAGGUACCAUGUCCAUACUUCAUACUAUUUUAAAAAAGUUAAAGUUGGUUGUUUCAAAAGUUUUCUUACCUACUUAUUAUGGCUUAAAAUGUUUUUCAUGAAUUUACCUACUAUAGUUGUUCAAAACUCUAAUUCUGUUGCUUGAAUUUGUUGAUGAGUUGAAGAGGGCCACCAAAGAAAGGCCACUUGCUAUCUUUUCAAUUUUAUUUAUUUGAAAUGGGCAUGAACUAGAAUUUGUUUGUCACUAGAAGCCCCACAUUUAUCUUGUUUCAUACUUGAAUCAUGGGGAGAUAAGGGCAUAGAGCACUUUAUUUCACCCUUUUUGUGCUUUUCGAUGCCUUAUUUUUCCUCAAAAGGAAAAUUUACUUAUCUUUGGCAAGAACAUGUGGCACACUUUGUUGUCAAACUUCUUUCUCCUCUUGUGUCUCUUGCUUAUGGAUCACUUGAUUGAUCAUAUGCCAAUGUUAUGUGCUGUUCUGUUUGGAGCUUCCUCUAUUGACACUGUCCAUAUUCUCUCUUUACUUGGAGUGGUAAGUGAUGUCUUGUGAAACCUUUUGUGGUUUUUGGAUCUCUAAGAUAUAUUAGUGAUAUCAGCUUCAUUUCCUUAUUAAGAUUGUUCAUGACAACUUGGCUGUUGUUGGCUAACAUACAAGCCGCAUGCUGAAGGGACUCCAUUCUAUUUGGUUGUUUAUGAGCCAGUUUUUCUCAUGAUAAAGUGAUUGUUCAAACACCAUGUUUUAGACAAUAAAGUAUUAAUUCCAAGGAACUAGUCUUUA